CAGUGGUGUGGCGCGGCAGACGGCUGAGACUUGAGAGAGAAGAAAGAAGACGGCGUCGCCAAGCAGUCAAGGUACGGGUGGGUAGGUUUUACUUUUGCCUUUCUCUGGAUUGUGGUUCUUCGCCUCUCUCGCAAACCGGGACAAUGGGCAGGUAAUGGGAGGACGAGAAAGAAUUAGGAAGGCCUCACCUGCCUCGACCCAAAACCGCCUCUGGAAUGAAACGAGUCC